rnacentral:snoRNA from 1 species
AAAAACAGACUUCAGAGAAUCAUUUCUAUAGUAUUCGUCCCACUCUGUGUUUCCUAAAAGAGCCACAGAGCCCACCCUGGUUGAUGAACGAAAUCCCCUUCGCCCUAGAGUGAAAACAACUCAAGCGGGUGUCACGUCCUUCGGGCCCUGAUUACCUUUUACUCUCGCCCUGUCCGCAAGGAUGGCGGUCGGCGCCUCGUGCGCAGGCUGUAUAGAGAGUGGUGAUGAUCUCAACCCCGUCGUCGUGGUCUUGCCUUCGGGCGCGCGGCCGGGGUGGGCGAAGGUGGAAGUCUGACAGGC